GCCGCCGCCGCCGGGCACCCAGCCCCAGGGGGGCGGGCUGGAGGGAGGGGGCGGGCCCCGGGCGCCGGCCGGGGGACCCCCGCAACCAUGGCGGGCGGGGAGUGGGCUGCCCAGCCGCUUCACCUGCCGCAGAGGGGGCGGCCGGCGCCGCUUCACCUGCCGGAGCGGGAGGCCACCGACGCGAGGCCGAGGCGGCGGCGCGCUCGGCGGCGCCUCCGGGUCCUAGAACCGCAUCCUCCCGCUCGCCUCGGGCGACGGAUUGGCCGGGUCUGGGUGAAGGGGGUCACGGCCUGGGGAUCGGAGGGGCACAUCUCUUCCGCACCGAGGAUCUCAGCGACUACGAGCACGGCUCGGAGACCCAUGGUGGUGCAGCGUUGGCGCGCCAGGGCUGCGUUCCCGUCUCAGGUCCCGGACUGAGAAGAAAUACUUCCAGAGCUCUUUCAUUCAUCCUGACAAUGGCCAGAGAAAAGCCACUGACAAGACUUUAAGCAAGAGACGGAAAGUUAACAUCUAAUCUGGAAGAAGACCCUGGAGGGAGCCAGCCCCUUCCCCCAGGCUGAGCUUGUUUAAGCCUUUCUUCUGCCAAGGUCACCAGCACCCCAGAUGGGUGAGAGAUGUGAUCACUGGUUUCGUGGCCUGACCAAGGACCUCCAAGG
rnacentral:antisense_RNA from 1 species